AUCUUUUUGUAGUUCAUAAGCUUAUGAUGACAUAAGUGUGAUGACGUUGGGUUUUCACGCUCAUGUGUGAGAUGUGCCUCCCUCAAGCCUUAUUACAAUGCCAGUACAUUUUUUUUCCACAUCUGAUA
ensembl:snoRNA